rnacentral:lncRNA from 1 species
CUGAUGUCAGGGGAGAGACUAUGACUGUGUAGUCACUACUGUAGAAAGUGCAGAGGCCUAGGGGCCAGAGCAAAGACCUCGGUCCCACUACAGCUGGGGACACCUCAGUAAAGUUAGGUUUCUGGUCAGCUUCAUGACAAGUGUUUAAAAGUAACGCUAGAGACUUACAGGGUGUCUGGAGCCUUUUCUUGACUUAUCUGCUCCUUGGAGUCUAAUCAGGAGCUUGUGAAGAGAUGCUAGUGGCCAAGCCAUUUCAGACAAGCUUUUAGGAAGUCACCUGGGUGAGGUAGUUCCCAAGGCAAUGCCUUGAUACAAGGAGAUGUCCAGGCUGAAGAGACUCACUGUGGAUCAGUGCAGAGUGUCAAACUGCCUAACCCAGGCUUUCCACACAUAAUUACUUGAGAUCACACUGGAGAACCAGCACCCUGAUCCAGUGUGUCUGCCAUCUUUACAUGGAGAGCUAUGGGAAGUGGGAUGUGGCAAAUACCAGAGGACAACCAUCAGUGGAAGGGGAUGUAUAUCAAAGACUGACAGCAACCCAAAAGCUACAAGAAGGCAGGAAGAAUUCCUCUUCAGACUUUAGGGUGGUCAGGACCCUGUAUACAUCUUGAUCCAGAAACUAGAAGAGAAAGGUUGAUUACCUUGGGCGUGUGUCGUGGUGAAGGAAGCGGACAAGCAGAAGGAGCAGCUGACAUACAGAUCGAUGGGAACAUUUCUGGAGCGCUUGAGUACAUAACUUAGCCACAGAUAUAAGAAAGGCGAGUAGCAGUGGCACAGGCCACUUAUCCAUAACUGAGUUGGACUCAUCCAUCAGCAGAUGUCAACACGUUGACUCCAUCCUUGUCGUUUCCUCCAGGCUCCCACAAAACAGUGAUUGGCCUCAAGUGAGUCAAAUGGGAAAGAGCAUGUGUGAGGCCUGGAAACCACUAGCCGCCAAGAAUAAGUUUCAAAGAGGAAAGAAAGGAAAGGAUGUGGGAGAGGAGACUGAGGCUGGAGCUAGCAGAUUCAUCACAGGACACCCAUAACCACUUGAGAGGCAAGAUGUACUCCUGCAUUCGUGAGCGUCUAUAGUGUCCGGCGUCUCCUCAGUCCUCGGGAAUCUUCUCGGAUCCUCAGGAAUCUUCGGGUCCUAUGUGUUCUAGGAGAGAUGCUGAUGAAUCAUCUGUGGGAACGAGAGCCUAUGAGUCACUGGGCACAGGAGGUACCCGGACACAACAUGGAAGUGAAAGAAAUGCAUUUAAGGUGCAUACCUUUUGAAGGAGCCAUUUUAGUCUUUCUAGGAAUUCUU